GCAAUAAGCGAAAGCUUGACAGGGUUAUUCUGAGUGAUUUCCGCUAAGGAAAUCUUUUGGCACCUCUAAAAAUGGUGCAGAAUAAGGGGUGGGCAAGCCUGGUGUCAGCCGCCGCGGUAAUACCAGCACCCCGAGUGGUCGGGACGAUUAUUGGGCCUAAAGCAUCCGUAGCCGGUUCUGCAAGUCUUCCGUUAAAUCCACCUGCUUAACAGAUGGGCUGCGGAGGAUACUAUGGAGCUAGGAGGCGGGAGAGGCAAGCGGUACUUAGUGGGUAGGGGUAAAAUCCGUUGAUCCAUUGAAGACCACCAGUGGCGAAGGCGGCUUGCCAGAACGCACUCGACGGUGAGGGAUGAAAGCUGGGGGAGCAAACCGGAUUAGAUACCCGGGUACCAGCUGUGAACGAUGCAGACUCGGUGAUGAAUAGGCUUCGUGCCUAUUCAGUGCCGCAGGGAAGCCGUUAAGUCUGCCGCCUGGGGAGUACGGUCGCAAGACUGAAACUUAA
rnacentral:rRNA from 1 species